UAUAUAUAUAUAUAUAUAUAUAUAUAUAUAUAUAUAUGUAAACCCCGAAAAGAACUGGUGGAUGGAUUUCAAAUGGACCUUGUUAUCGAUACAAACAAAUCAAUUGUUAUCGAUUGUUGUACAAUUGCGGUGUGUCACGUAUGAUUUAUGCAGAUAUAAUUUUAAUGAGUUUGACAUGUUUUAAGUUUCUGCUUGUUCAAUUACUUUCCCUCAUAUACUCCAAUUAUUUCACGUUCUUGUCUUCUGCAUCACCACUCGUGUUCUGGUAGUACGGUGCGACGAAGAUUUGGUGCCCAACUCGAAAGUGUUAUCAAACCUCAAAUCAAAAUUCUGUCCCCCGAUCUACAUAUGUAUAAAUAGUCAACUUCAUCAUACUAAUAGCUGCCAUGACAACCAGUCAUUAUCCCGCAUCAUACUGUAAAUAAAUCCCCCUUCCCCCAUCCCCAGCUUGUGAGGCACUAUUAGAAACAUAGCGGUAGAUUUAAGAAAGUUCCUCAAAGAAAUUUCCGAUAUACAUGUAAAGUAGUGUGAGUUUCGCUAGUUGCAUUUGUAAGAGGUUAGCUUCCGACUGAGCAGGUGACUCCAUAGUAAGAGCAGUUCUCAGUAGUGGUUAGCGUGGGCAGAACAGACCUCCACUGUGUGGAAUACCAGUAAUGAGUCUUCGGCAUCAUGCCAAUGUUUACGUCGGAGUUAUAGUAGCGCCCUAGUUCCUACAGGAGGAUCUUUUCUUUAGUUCUCCCCCUGGGAGGAACGGCGCUCUGUGGAUCGGGGUAACUAUGCUAUUUUGUAUGCUCUUGAGUCUUGACAACUCUUCACGUGGAAGCUUGAAAGAUCUCAGGGCACCGAAAAUGUGGCUUACAAAAAAAAACCCUGACUGUUAAUUGUAUAGGUCUGUGCAUUGUUUGUCUCUGUUGACCAAUGUCUGAUGCACUUCAAUUCUCACUGAGUCUUGCCUCCACUUGCUGUGUUGCCCGAGUUAAUGUGUGUGUGCCUCUAACAAGUUUGUUUUGCAUAUGACGCUCUUAAUUUUAUCUGAUCGCACCGAAGUUUAAAAGAAAAAAGCAUUAAAGAAAAACAAUAAGCUUAAUAAUAUUAAAUGAAGCCAACAUACUGCCUACAGGUGAUGUUUGAUAAAUUACAUUCCAGCCGAGCAUGAUCAUCCAUCAAGCCCCCUUGUUUUUGACCAGUUCCCUGAACCAAUCGUGAAUAAUGCAUAUCACACCCAUGUCGCCCUGGACGCUGGUUGUCACAACAGCAGCUUUUCUGUACCACUGUUUUCCUACGAAGGAUUCCUGAAGAGUGCCCCGGGCGGCCACCACAGACCUGGGAGGGCCGCGCUGGGCCUCACUAGUGACAACGUAGUGUCCACGGCAGCGCUGACUAUCAGCCCGCGACCCGACGGCCCAACCUAAGUCAGGUCGGGCCGCGCCGGGCCGCACCACACGCAGGACCUCACUCGGUGCGGCCCAACUCGUGCUUUCAAAAGCUACGUGAGUAGAAGAAGGUACGGAGAGUCGCGCGUGUUGCUGCUGUCUGGGGCUUGGUGUGGGUCGGGUGACACUGGAGCCUCAUUCUUUCUCGUUACACAGCCCGGCCCCCGCCUGGCCCGCGCCUGGCCCGCCAACUGCCAUAUUUACUCCUGGCUGGGUCCUGCUGGCCAGCAGGAGGGGCGGCCGCAGCCCCCUCACCAGCUUCUAGGGCUAGGUCUGCUAUUUAGCUCCCGCCAUGUUUGUUUGCUCCCUCGUUACUUGCCUAGUUACCAUAUUUGUGAUCCAAAACUUCGUAAGUAUUUUACUUGAAUUGCUGUAGAGGAAGUAUCCUGCUAGGCUUCAUGCUAGUGCCUGCCGCCCAGCCGGGCCGCGCCAGGAGCCCGGCCCGCACCGGCCCGCCCAAUAUGAGGGGGUGGGGGCGGCGGCGGCCCGGGCAGAGGACGCGUGUCAACAUAUCGCCCGGGAGGGUAUCGUAGCGCGCUACGUCGUGCCGGAUAUCACUAGGGACGUCUUUUUCCAAGUGUGGGGAUUUUAUGGAGUGAAAGUUAUUAUGAUGAUCAUUAUUGCCAUUAUGGUUAUCAAUAAUAUUAUUAUUACCAUAAUUAUUAAAUAAGACAUGCCACAUCGUACCACUUGUAGAUAAUGAUUUGUAUCAGAACAAUAAAAAAGCAAUAGUAUCCAUUGUUUUAUUUUAUUCAUUUUUAUGCGAUACUGAGGAAUUCAAAUUAAAUUGUGCAGUUCAGAGUUUCAGAUUUACCAGCCAUCACGUCCUCUGACAACAUCCACUGGCAGGCUGACAACGCAAAGAAGAAAAAGCAUUUACCAUCACUUGCACCCAAGCUGUCUUUCCACUAAGAUAAACUCAUUCUCACCCGUCUGUCUUAAUGCAGGCACAGUACUUCCGAUUUGCAAAACCUAAUACCGGCUAACUUGUUUCCACGAAUCACUUCGGUCUGACAAAAAAGACCAAUUCCCUUAAAAAGAAAAUCGUCUCGAUUCUUUCAGAUCUAAAAUACACAUGCCUUCACAACCACCUUCCAACUCAUUUUAGGAUAUCCACUACGCCUACUCCUUCUGCAGGAAACUCAGGGAUUCUUUGAUAUCCCUAAGUCACUCCACAUUGAUUUUAACUCUGAACAAGAUUGCCCAGAAGAAUAACAUCUCCCGGUAACCCAAGAAGAGCUUCCAGAUUUGCUUCAAGAAUCCCAUCUGCAAGAUCUAAUUUUGGAAGAGUUACCGCCCAUACGGGUAAAGGAAUUGACACCCACAUGAUAAACAAAGCAAAGAAGAUAACAGGAAAUUCUGGAUUCACGCUACUAAAGUUAAUGGACAGUCAGUUAAUGGCUCGGCGAUUAGAAAGUGGAAAUAUAUCUUACGGAUACCUGGAGGAUGUUACAGGGGUCAACGCCCCCGCGUUGACCCCCGUACAAUAGUAUUAACUCCUUGAGAUUAUGGAGGAAAUGCGUUUUAAAUAACCAUUAAAUAUAAUUACCUUUAAAAUGGCGAACUUUUGUCUGAUCAAGAGAGGUAAAUGGUGACAAUUAGUUUAACUGUAAUCAUCACCAUUGUUAAGGUAAAAGAAAUAUUACUCAAGGUAAACUAUGAUUGAUAUACACAACUAUGUAACAAAAAAUAUAAUGGAAAUAUGCACCAAAAGCUUUGAAACUGGACUCUGUAACCAGAGUUUAGGAUUGAGGGCACUUUGUAAAUAUAAUAAAAAAUAAUAAUAUAGACAAACCAUAACUGAACUAUGUUAAGAAUGGAAAUAACCCAGAGAAAAUUAGGUGGAUACAUUGAAUUAAUUCGCAGUAAAAUGAUAUUUAGUAUAAUUACUGGGAACUCUAUUGUAACAGUAAAGUAAAUAUCCUCAAUACCUCACCAGAAUUAAGUUUGUAAAAUUGAUUAUGUCAUUUAAAUAGGAACAACUAUCAUGUGUCAUCAAAUAAUUUUUCAGGAUUCUCACUGUGCGAAACGAUUAUUUUUAAUAGAGUUUUGCUCUAUCUACGUCUUUUAUUUCCUAUGAUGCAGCUCCAGACGCCGCGGCUAUAAUUAAAAAUUAUCCAUCAAUGCACCACUCGUCAACCCAUUAACCAAAUAAGAGGUCAACCCGUCAACCCAAUUCAGUCUCCACCAAAUGGCGAAAAAUAUAUAGUGAACCUGGCAGCCUCAGCGGCCAACACAAUGAUUCUUGUCUGGUAAUGAGUUCAUAUAUUUGCUUAGGAUUAUUUGAGGUUAAUUUGUGUUAAAUACUUGUGACAUAAUUAAUGUAGUCUACAACGUUUUAUGUUAGUUGUGUAGAUGUUAUUUAGAUAUUCUUAAAUUACCUCAUCUCUAAUUAAAAAGAAAAUAAUGGACGCUAAUUUAUUUUAUAAAGUAAUUGUAUAAUAGUAUUAUUAAGGUAACUAGUUUAUUAACUCCUGUUGAGAAAAAAUCAUAAUUUUGUAGACAUAAUUUCUACAUAGGUAGUAAGCUUACGCAAAUAUGUUUCAAAUCACACACGCAUUUCGAACUCUAAACUAAACACAACAUUUCGUACUCUAAGUUGAAUCAAUAAUCGUGGAUCUAAAAGUAAUAAUGCAUUCACUGAGUACAGCAGAGACUUGUGGCACUCAUUUCAACUUAAUCCUUGGAAUUCUUAGCUAAUCCCUAGCUAAUUAAUUAAAUGGCCUAGCUUCAGAAGACGGGUUUGCAUUGAAAGGCUUCAGUAUUUUGUUUCUAACCCUCCCUCUAUUGUGCAUUUGCGUAUGUAGCCACAGAUCCAGUGAAAUGGAAGAGGCCAGCCAAUGCAACCCAUGGUACCUACUGAGUUCUUAAUCUCAUAACUACGGCAAUGUGACGGCCCACAGAAGAUUGUUAUUUAGCCCAAAGAGAAACAAAGCCAUACCAAAUUCAUUAUUCUCUGACUUCUAUUUCAGGAGAACUGGGGUAAGGGAUAAGUCGAGGAUUUGUAGGUGUUUCUGUAGCCCCGGUGCCCAGUUCAUGCUCUCCAGAGUGUGAAAUAGUGACAGCCAAGUUUGUGUAUGUCGGUGAUAUGUCUUCCUUCGACACAGUAGUGGCCAUGAACAAUCAUUCAGCAAGAUCAGCACUCAGCCGUAGUUGCAGCAGUCAACUGUCUCUCUCCCCGUUUCAGCAACUCCUAAACUUCCCAAACUGGAACAGGAACUAGAAAACGGGGAAACUCAAAACCAUUUGUUUUAAAGAGAAAUGUAAAAAAAAAAAAAUAAUAUUCAUGGUUUCACAUACAUUUUGCAAUAUGAAAUAUAGUCUCAUCAAAAUAAAAUUCUUUCAUAUAUAUUAAAAUUAUUUUCCAACAUGUUUACAAUGAUUUUUUAUAUUUUUCAGAAGUCACAGAAGAUCAGAUAACGUUGAAGGGUAUAUAAUAAUCACCAGCCAUUUGUGUCUCUCCUCACCUCAGUACCCACUACACCAUCUAGACUGGAAAGAAGUUUUAAAAUUUACGUAGUGCUGGAAUAAACAGGUACUGACCUGCACCUCAGCAGUCAUACAACACCCAGCAAAACAGAAAUUGCCAAAAUAAUUAAAAAUGUGCACCAUAGUCAUGAGUGGCACCAUUGGCACCUCUGUGGGCACUUAUUCAUGACCACUGAUCUUCAUUUCAAGGAUUCCCUUGCAAUGCUAUGAAUAACAGCACGAUCAGACUGAAGUACCCAUAAGUUUAUGGUGCCCAGAAGCUGAAAUACACCCACUUCACUGACUGUACCACAAGAGUACUCCUAGUCAGGCACUAGGCUUACAACAGGAUAACCUUCUAUGGGGAGGUGCGACAACCACUACAUCAUUGCUGUCGGAAAGAGUGAAGAGAAGGCUCCGGGCAAUAGUCAAUUCCAUGUCACUAUAGGCAAAUCUGAGGCGAAAGAGAAAGUAUCUUCAUCAAGCUAUGAAUUACUGGACUCUUAAAUCAGAGGGACUCUGCCCACGGCGCCUGCAGCCGAAGAGUACACACCUCCAGGAGUGCACCGCCGCCUACGAAAAGUGGAACCUACCCACAGGGUCUUCCUGAGUGGAGCCCGCCCAUAGUGCCUCCCACAGUGAAGCACAUCUAGUGACUGCCUUCUUUAAUAGAGCCCGUCCGUAGUGAGGGCUCCCAGAGUGUAUCCUUAACUGAUAAGAGCACUCUCGUAGGACCUUCUUAGAGUGUACUCUGUUCAAAGUCAUUAUCCUAGCCAAGAAUUACCUAUUCGUGGCUUAUUUUUAGUUUAAUGACUGAUGCUGUGGACUUUAUCCACAGACUUCAUAUACUGGACUGUUGUCAAAAUUGUUGUACUCUGUCCAGUAUUAUUGCAUUAUGUCCACUGUAAACUUCCGUUCCUUCAUAGCAUGUAAACUACACGAUUUGCCAUUGUAGCAAAGUUAUCUAAACGUUAUAACUAGUAACUGCCAUAUUACGGUGGUUACCUGGAGUUAACUGGAAAGGUAAACUCCAGGUAGCCACCAUAAUGUGGAGGUUACUAGUUAUGACGUUCAGAUAACACCGUUACAAUGGCAAAUCGUGUAGUUUACAUGCUAGGAAGGACCUGAAGUUUAGAUUAUAUUGAUACAGUGUAAACCAUGUUCUGCUUGCUGGGUGCUUUACCUUUAUAUUCCAUAUCCCUUCUCCCUCCUUCCAAACUUGCCACUCCUUACGAGUGGUCACCAGCAUAUCACCAUUAGCUCUCAAGCUGUUGGUGAGAGAUUUCCAGUGGUAACCUGGCUACCUCUGGAAAUCCUAAAGUACCCUUCGGUUCGUGGUUUAGGGUUCCAUGUAACAAACGUUUUCUCACUGAGAUCCUCAAGACUAAGAUUUUCUUUCUUACGAAAGCCUUCGAACCGUAAGAUUUUCACUGUGAACAUUUGGACGAUUCACCCUUGUCCGGCUCACU